AGUGAACGCUGGCGGCGUGCUUAACACAUGCAAGUCGAGCGAAUUUCAGCAGCGUAUCGCUGAAGUUAGCGGCAGACGGGUGAGUAAUACUUAGGCAAUCUGCCCUCAAGAGGGAAACAACCUGCCGAAAGGCGGGCUAAUGUCCCAUAAGACCACAGGAUGGCAUCAUCCAGAGGUCAAAGCUCCGCAAGGGGCGCUAGAGGAGGAGCCNGAGUCCUAUCAUGGUAGUUGGUGAGGUAACGGCUCACCAAGCCUUUGACGGGUAGCCGGCCUGAAAGGGUGACCGGCCACACUGGCACUGAGACACGGGCCAGACUCCUACGGGAGGCAGCAGUGGGGAAUUUUGGACAAUGGGGCAACCCUGAUCCAGCGACGCCGCGUGGAGGACGAAGGUCUUCGGAUUGUAAACUCCUUUUGGAGGGAAGAAUGCCUACGUGAAUAACGUAGGGUGACGGUACUCUCUGAAUAAGCCACGGCUAACUACGUGCCAGC
rnacentral:rRNA from 1 species